rnacentral:tRNA from 1 species
UCAAAAAUAGUUUAUUAAAACAUUAACUUUGGGAGUUAAUAUAUAGAUUUUUUUCUAUUUUUGAA